rnacentral:pre_miRNA from 1 species
AAUAAGUGCAGUUUUAUACUGUUUAUAUCCAACGUUUGACCGUUCGUCUUAUCUAAAAAAAUUUAUGAUUAAUAUUUUUGUUGUUAUUAGAUGAUAAAAUAUAAAUAGUACUUUAUAUCUGACUAUUUGUUUUUUUAAAAAAAAUCAUAAUUAUUUUAAAUAAGACGAAUAUCAUGGACACGGAUAUCCAUGGCUGCGCUUAUU